rnacentral:rRNA from 1 species
GAUGAACGCUGGCGGCGUGCCUAAUACAUGCAAGUCGAGCGAACAGACGAGGAGCUUGCCCCUCUGACGUUAGCGGCGGACGGGUGAGUAACACGUGGAUAACCUACCUAUAAGACUGGGAUAACUUCGGGAAACCGGAGCUAAUACCGGAUAAUAUAUUGAACCGCAUGGUUCAAUAGUGAAAGACGGUUUUGCUGUCACUUAUAGAUGGAUCCGCGCCGCAUUAGCUAGUUGGUAAGGUAACGGCUUACCAAGGCAACGAUGCGUAGCCGACCUGAGAGGGUGAUCGGCCACACUGGAACUGAGACACGGUCCAGACUCCUACGGGAGGCAGCAGUAGGGAAUCUUCCGCAAUGGGCGAAAGCCUGACGGAGCAACGCCGCGUGAGUGAUGAAGGUCUUCGGAUCGUAAAACUCUGUUAUUAGGGAAGAACAAAUGUGUAAGUAACUAUGCACGUCUUGACGGUACCUAAUCAGAAAGCCACGGCUAACUACGCG